ACAACAGGCAAGCACACUCAUCUGAAGUCCAUUUGGUCUGUGGAUGGGUUCUAUUGACUGAGAACAGUGCUUAGGAAUCUGGACCCAUGGAACAAGAGUGCCUCCAUGAGAUCCAGCUGUGGGGCAUUUUCUCAGUUGGUGAUCAAGGGGGUAGGGUCCAUUGUGGGUGGUGACAUCCCUGGGCUGGUAGUCUUGGGUUCUGUAAGAGAGCAAGCCAGUAAGAAACAUCCCUCCAUGGCCUCUGUAUCAGCUCCUGUAUCUUGACUUGUUUGAGUUCCAUUCUUGACUUCCUUUGGUGAUGAACAGCAAUGUACAAGUAUAAGUUGAAUAAACCCUUUACUCCCCAACUUGCAUCUUGGUCAUGAUGUUUUGUGUGGGAAUAGAAACCCUAAGACACUCACUUAUACUUUCUAAAUUUCAUGCAGUUUUAAUUGCUUUUUGCUUAUAGAGGGAGAAGAGUCAUACCUAGAAUGUGAAAGGAACUUGCAGAGUGGAGGAACCAUCUUAGAAUGUGCUGAAGGGAGUGGGAAGAAAUGACUCAGAGGCCCAAGGCCGACCAGCAGCUCCCGAGGAACGGUACAACUGAGAUGGCAGCUCGAGGUGAAAGAGAGGAACUAGACAGACGGAAGAAAGAACGGAGCCAAGUCAAAGUGGACUCUGAUCAAAGCUCAAUUUUACUAUUCCAACACGCAGUUAUGAAGGAGGGGAAGGGGGGGCCGAUUCCCGCCAAAUAAUCCUGGAGUCCAGUAGCAGGGUGACCACGUGUAUGGCUCCAGAACAGCAAAGCAGCAGGUUCCAGCAGUGGGCGUGGCAGAACGAUUGAGGGGCAAGCUCCAUCCAGAUGUAAACAGUGGAACCAUUAAGGCUGGGGGAGGGAAGGCUACAGGUUCAGAUACCAUAAAUGCAUAGAGGCCAUAAAUUCUGAUCCAGUAGUGCUGGAGUAAACAGACAGUUGUGAAUCACCCAACAUGGGUGCUGGGGAUUUAACUCAAAUGACCUGGAAGAGCAAACUCUUAACUGCUGAGAGCUCUCUCCAGGGCCAAUAAGAAUUAGUUUUGAACUACAUAUCCAACUCUACCACGUCCAGGUCUCAUGUGAACAUUGAAAAUACUUAGCCAGGCGUGGUGGCGCACACCUUUAAUCCCAGCACUUGGGAGGCAGAGGCAGGUG
rnacentral:lncRNA from 1 species